rnacentral:rRNA from 1 species
UCGGGAAUUUUGGGCAAUGGGCGAAAGCCUGACCCAGCAACGCCGCGUGAGGGAUGAAGUAUUUCGGUAUGUAAACCUCGAAAGAAUGGGAAGAAUAAAUGACGGUACCAUUUAUAAGCUCCGGCUAACUACGUGCCAGCAGCCGCGGUAAUACGUAGGGAGCAAGCGUUGUUCGGAUUUAAUGGGCGUAAAGGGCGCGUAGGCGGCGCGGUAAGUCACUUGUAAAAUCUCUGAGCUUAACUCAGAACGGCCAAGUGAUACUGCUGUGCUAGAGUGCGGAAGAGGCAACCGGAAUUCUUGGUGUAGCGGUGAAAUGCGUAGAUAUCAAGAGGAACACCUGAGGCGAAGGCGGGUUGCUGGGCCGACACUGACGCUGAUGCGCGAAAGCCAGGGGAGCAAACG